rnacentral:rRNA from 1 species
CCUACGGGAGGCAGCAGUGGGGAAUAUUGGACAAUGGGGGGAACCCUGAUCCAGCCAUGCCGCGUGUGUGAAGAAGGCCCUCGGGUUGUAAAGCACUUUCAGUGAGGAAGAACGCCUGGUGGUUAAUACCCAUCAGGAAAGACAUCACUCACAGAAGAAGCACCGGCUAACUCCGUGCCAGCAGCCGCGGUAAUACGGAGGGUGCGAGCGUUAAUCGGAAUUACUGGGCGUAAAGCGCGCGUAGGUGGCUUGAUAAGCCGGUUGUGAAAGCCCCGGGCUCAACCUGGGAACGGCAUCCGGAACUGUCAAGCUAGAGUGCAGGAGAGGAAGGUAGAAUUCCCGGUGUAGCGGUGAAAUGCGUAGAGAUCGGGAGGAAUACCAGUGGCGAAGGAGGCCUUCUGGACUGACACUGACACUGAGGUGCGAAAGCGUGGGUAGCACACAGGAUUAGAUACCCCGGUAGUC